rfam:Macaca mulatta chromosome 10, whole genome shotgun sequence.
CAAGUACUGGUCUCAGCAGAUUAAGGAGAGCACCACAGUGGUCACUACGCAGUCCACUGAGGUUGGAGCUGC